rnacentral:rRNA from 1 species
GGUACAACGAGUUGCGAACUCGCGAGAGUAAGCUAAUCUCUUAAAGCCAUUCUCAGUUCGGAUUGUAGGCUGCAACUCGCCUACAUGAAGUCGGAAUCGCUAGUAAUCGCGGAUCAGCAUGCCGCGGUGAAUACGUUCCCGGGCCUUGUACACACCGCCCGUCACACCAUGAGAGUUUGUAACACCCAAAGUCGGUGGGGUAACCUUUU